GCUCAGAACGAACGCUGGCGGCAUGCCUAACACAUGCAAGUCGAACGAAGGCUUCGGCCUUAGUGGCGCACGGGUGCGUAACGCGUGGGAAUCUGCCCUUAGGUUCGGAAUAACAGCUGGAAACGGCUGCUAAUACCGGAUGAUAUCGCGAGAUCAAAGAUUUAUCGCCUGAGGAUGAGCCCGCGUUGGAUUAGGUAGUUGGUGGGGUAAAGGCCUACCAAGCCGACGAUCCAUAGCUGGUCUGAGAGGAUGAUCAGCCACACUGGGACUGAGACACGGCCCAGACUCCUACGGGAGGCAGCAGUGGGGAAUAUUGGACAAUGGGCGAAAGCCUGAUCCAGCAAUGCCGCGUGAGUGAUGAAGGCCCUAGGGUUGUAAAGCUCUUUUACCCGGGAAGAUA
rnacentral:rRNA from 1 species